GAGGAGCCCCAGCCCCGGGAGUCCCAGGUGUUCCCAUUCUGUGACCAGCACAGAACAUAGAACACAGAACUCCUCACCAUGGAAUUUGUGCUGGGCUGGGUUUUCCUUGUUGCUCUUUUAAAAGGUGUCCAGUGUGACGUGCAGCUGGUGGAGUCUGGGGGAGACCUGGUGAAGCCUGGGGGGUCCCUGAGACUCACCUGUGUGGCCUCUGGAUUCACCUUCAGUAGCUACUACAUGUACUGGGUCCGACAGGCUCCAGGGAAGGGGCUGCAGUGGGUCGCGUAUAUUAGUAGUAGUGGAGGUAGCACAAGCUACGCAGACUUCGUGAAGGGCCGAUUCACCAUCUCCAGAGACAACGCCAAGAACACGCUGUAUCUGCAGAUGAACAGCCUGAAGACCGAGGACACGGCCACAUAUUACUGUGCAACAGACACAGUGAAAGGACCUCACUGGGAGCCCACACACAAACUUCCCUGCAGGAGGGGAUCAGCACCACCGGGGGGCGCACACUAUGCACAAUUCUGCUUUGUGUUCCCAGGAGCAGGUGCACUUGGAGGUUACAGUAUGAGUGAAUUGCAGACUUCCUGGCGCACAACAGCUGAACCUUUACAGGAGUCCCAGAUGCACUCACUGUGCAGCCAGGCCUACAGGAGCCCACAGACCCCCAUUAUCGUCACUCAGCACUUGUCCCAAACAAUGUGA